rnacentral:pre_miRNA from 1 species
UAAAAAUGUGUGUGGUGAGGGGUUGAUCCAUUGAAGGAUGCUUGCAUCCUUCAAUGGAUCAACCCCUCACCACACACAUUUUUU